rnacentral:lncRNA from 7 species
AGAAGAACAUUGGAUUCAAUGUUCCCUCUUCUUCCCAGAGCGUAGCAACCUGCCAGGGACAUGGAGGCACAUAGAGGGAGGUGCAGAAGAAACAAGGAGGAAUGUGGAGGAAGAUGGAGGACUUUGAAGUAAUGUUGAGGGAGAUGGUUCCUUAGGAUGUGUCUCAAUGGGCAGGUGAGGGCAGACCCAAAUUAAUUGCACCCACACCACGUCACUCAGGUGCAAGGCACUUCUAGCCCAGAAGCUGUGUGACUCUGCAGGCAGCACUGUGCCAACAUGGGGCAAAACCUGCAGUUUGGCUCAAUACCCACCUGGCGUUGGAUGCAAACAAACCUGUGAGUCCUACACCAAGUCUACAUCUUGGCCUGCCUUCUUCAGUUCACUCCGUUGGUACAGCUGGGCUCUCAGUGAACCAGAAAGUGUGAGGUUUGCCAGAACUGAAGAGCGUGUGAAUGGGUUUGUGGAGGUGAGGGAAAAACGUGUAUUUUUUUUUUUAAACCUGAAAAACUAGCUUACCUGUGCAUCAUAAUAGGGAUUUUGGAAUUGAGACUAUUGUAAUGGUUGUGGUCUAGAGUCAUUAGAGCAGUGCUGUGCUACUGGGACACUUAUAGGCUACCUCCACACUUACCAUUGCUCAGAAGACAGACAUUCUCUUCUCCUUUAGCUAAGCCUGCCUGAACUGGAGGGCUUUUGCAUGACUGUGAAGGAAAGAGCUUAAUUCUUCUUUAUGACCUGCUUCAAACAAAGCUACAGCAACCAAAUGGACCGUGCUGUGUGAAACCCAACAUCAUGCUCGUGUGAGUCAAAUAUCCCCCUCUGGUGCUGGAGAGUUCAGCUAAAGAGCAAACAACGGUAAACACCAGCAGCUGAAAGUGGGUGUUCUUUUGCUUUCUUCAUGGCAACAGCCCAGCAGACUGACGGAGAUCAAAAAUUACCUUAUCACCUGGAGGUCUGCAGAGAAGCCAAGAGAUGUUGAAACCUCCACCACCUCCAACAUCAAAGGCUGCAGCAGGAUUCAUGUUUGCAUGUACUCAAAUUUACAUGCUGUUUUAUGCAUCCAGAAGAGCUAACAUCCUCCCUUUUCUUUCACGUCGAAUGGAUGCUAUGGUUUUAUGUGGGGAUGAGCAACACUUAUGACAGAUAAGCUGACAAAACACAGCAAAAUCCCGGGUGUCUGCAACAUCAACAGUUAGGCUGGUGUUUCCAUGUCCCUGCUGAGGAUGGAAAAUGUUUUGCCAUCACUCUUCCUACAUACACAGUCCCAAAGUGUUCAGAAGGGCUAAAUUUCUAGUGAAAUGAUCUUCAAGUGUUGUGUUGUCAUGAUAGAGAGAAGAUGGACUCAGUUCUCAGAGACCACAGUACAAUAUGGAGCUUGUAGCUGAGCUUCAGUAGGAUGUUUUUAACAGUCUGAUAUCUGGAAAGUCUUUUUUCCUAAGUGGUCAGUUACUGCAAGCAAAAUGACCUUCUCCUCCUUUUGUCAUGAUUAAUUCCUGCAAACCACACUGUAUUUUUCUCUAUGCUUGUCUGCUAACUAUGUAGAAAGUGCUAAGCAAUCGUGCAUAAUUCAUUACUCUUAAUUAAAAUGUAAAUUUAUUGUCAGCCUUUUGGGGUAAUUAAAGCACCAUUGU